ACAUGGUGGACCUUUCAAGAGUUGAUAACUGUAGCAUAGUCAAUACAGUGAUGUUGUUUUAACCUGUACUUUCUGAUGUACCUGCUGACCUGCAGGUCAUAUCAUAAUAAUGUCUCCCUUGUGUACUCUAUAUCAUACCAUAGAUGAUACAGUACUGACGUGGAUGUGAAACGGCCUAGUAUCCGGAGGGGUCCACGGGAAUUGUCUGAAGCUAUCAUCGUAACGAGCAGAUUAUGUUAGAAACCCUGUAACUGUCAUGUUUAUAUAGCAACCAGAGCGUAGUAAACAGUGUUCCGUGUCUGAAAACUGGUGAAAAUGACCGGCACACAUUGAUACUUGCAGUGGGCUUGUAGUGUUGUCUUUCGCUGAGCUAAGAUAUCAAUUGCCAAAUGUUAGCUAAUUAUACUAUCAAGUGAAAUUUAUCCCAGGACCUACUCGAGUGCUACUUCUCUAGGCAACACCAUCGGUGAAGACAGCAUUAACGUCCAACCUCUUUUCAAGUGCCGUGUAUCUACACUUGUAUAGGAAUUUCGAACCGGCAAGUUGGAAUGUGUCUCUCUCACAGCCACUUCGUAAACGAUCAAGAAACAGUUUAUCGUGUACUAUAAAUUAAUACUCUCAAGACUAUUAUAAUAAUUAUUAGCAUGUACACGUACACGUACACGUACAGAUCAUCAACAAUUUCACCCGUUUGCUUA